UUUUGAUCUUUAUUUUUGAAUUCUGCUCCAUAAUUGAUUAUUAUGGAGUAUUUUUGAACUUGGAUAAACCGAAGUGCGAAUCCCUAAUCUUUGUCAUUUUAUCUCACUGGAUUCAUUUUCUUUAAGAUAUUUUUCAUCAUCCUCAGUCCUAAAUGGUGAUAUAACUGAAUAUCUUUGGCCUGUAGUGCAAAGAUGAAUGAUUACCUGAUGAAUAUCUUUGGCACGUAUUGUAAAGAUAGACAGGUGUUGAGAUGAACAUGACUAACUGGUGAUACAAAUGAAUAUCUU
rnacentral:lncRNA from 1 species